GUUUGCGAAUUGCGAUUGAUAUGCAUUUUUUGGGCCCCCAAUUUAAUAAAGUUUCACAAAAAUCACGCUCAUAAGGAACCUAUCAUCAUUCAUCCUAUAAUACAACUGCGCAAAAAAAGUACCUAUGUAAAUGUUUAUUCGGAGUGAUCAGUGAGGGGAGUUUCCAUUACGUAGGUACCUACAUGUAAAUUUUUUUUGGCCCCAACCAUUUCAAGAAUUAUGAGUUUUUUGGGCUCCAUCUCCACCCUCUCUACUUUAUUGUGCACCUGUGAAUAUCAAAAUAUAACAAGUACCUAUACUUGAAAGUGCUUAGUACAGUACAUCUCUUCUGGCAUUUUGUUCGAUCAAGUAAAGCAACAGAAUUAUUUUCAAGUAUUUUCGUGAUUUCUACUAUGCAUAAACCUGAAAACUGGAGACGUAUCGUCGUCUGGUUAUUUCCAAUUCGGCCGUUAAGCGAUAAGGAAAAGGAAUUCGUAGAACGUACCUAAUAAUGCAUUGUGUUGGUUGUUGGGGUUGGGAUAACCAAAGCGAUAAGACGAGCCGGUUCGUUCUGUUCUUGAUUUUUCGUGCUGCAGUUUCUAAUUUUUUCGCUCGGUUUAUUCUUGCUCUUCGCUUUGAAUUAUUUGAAGCGAAAUAUGGCUCAUUCGUUGAAAAUCCGUCGUACUUUCGUGUCUUUUUUUUUCUCUCGAAAAUGACGAUAUUUUGAACCGAGAAUCGCAUCAUUCGUCGAGUUGUUGUCUGUGUACUUGGAAAUUUCUCCAUCGGUUUCGACUUCGAGUUCGAAAUUCGUCGUAUAGCUUUUAUUAGUUUUUUUUCGCUCGGAUCAAUUACCAUAUUCGUCGUUAUAAAGUAUCUCGUGUAAUGAUCGUGACGGAGAAUCGCAUCAAUCGUCGAGUUGUCGUCCGUUCCGUGUACUUCGAAAAUUUCUCAUUUUUUUCUCCUUCGGUUUCGAGUUCGAAAUUCGACGCAGUUUUUUCGCUCGGAUCAAUUCGUCGUUAAAAAGAACAAAAUAUCCGUCGUGUCCGUGUACUUUUUUUAAUUCUACGACUACGUCCAUUCGCCAUUCCAUCGAGGUAGAAAUUGAGCGGAUGAUGUUGUUUUUGCAGCUGCAGAAAUUGAACGUGGAGAAACCAUAGUAACGCAGAUAAAUAAAUACGUAUGGGCUUACUUAAUACGCUGCAUCGAUUCUACUGCAACAAACUGAUGAAAUCUAAAAUAUUAGAAUCGCAUUUUGGAUAUUCUUCGAAACAGUUGUAUCCAUCGAAUCCUAAUUUUUCAGCUCGAUAAUAAUUUUCAGGUUCAGCUGCGUGUCUAAUUCUCAUCAAGGUGUUAAUUAAGUACAAGACAAGCUCGUUUUAGAUAACGGGAUUUAGCUUAGAUGUUGAAAAUCUCUGGCAAACAAUCACAACAAACCAAGACAUUAACGCAAAAAAAUGAUCAGCUGGCUUUGAAAAAUACUGUAGAUCCAUUUUUGGAAUGGUAUAAUUCAAGAUUCGAAAAUUGCCUGAAUGAAAUAAAAAAAUACCCAGAUCACGCCGCACUAAUUGAAGAGUAUUUCAACGACGAUGGUGGUUUUGAAGUGAACGAGGAAACUUUAUACAACAUUCUGUCUGCUGAAUUACAAGGAGGUUCAAAAGUGCAAUCAAUUCAUACGUAUCGUACAUUACCAACUAUCCCUCAAAGUGUAGCCAAUGCCACAAACUUACACAAGAAAACUUACUCUCAUCAAGUGAAUCAAAACCUCAAGUCUUUGACUUCGAAUACGCAAAAUGGACCAAGUGGUUUAUACAAGCAUAAGAAUUACCAACUUGUACCACCCGAUUUCGUGGAAACUCUAGAUUUAUGCAAGAGUAUGGGACAUCUCAGAAUUAUCGAUCAGUAUUUCAAGUCCAUUGAAAACCACAAGAGUUGAAAUAGGUACCUAGACUCAUUAUCUGGAAACUUUUUGUGAUGUGCCUGCAAUCCUUCUCACGAGAUGUUUUUUUUCAACCCCCUCCCCCUCAACUUUCAUGAAAAAAUAUUCAACAUUACCUACCUUUUUUUUUUCAACGAACAAUCAUUGUAAAGUACUUACCUGCUAUUCGUAAUUUUGAACCCUUUGCUGAAAAUUCUUCAAAAAUGCUCUCGAAAAUAUUCUUGCCAAAAUAAUUGAAUUUUUUGCAAAAUUUUAACUUAUUUUUUAAAAAAAUACGACAGAAAAAUCGAAAAAUCAUAGUCAAAAAGUUCCUAUUUCUGUUAUCCAAGUGCGCAGUGUAGCCAUUCUUGACACAAAAAAAAUACUAUAGAAAACAACUUUCUACUUGUCCCUUUCUUUCAGAUGUUCAGAAUAAUAUUCAAUUUACGAAGAUACAUUAAAGUUGCCAUUUUUAAAUCUGUCAGAAAAGCAUUUCUUUUUCAUCAUCACAAAUAAUCGACAGAAGCUUAUGGUGUGAAUUAGAAGGGAAUGAAACACAAAAGAAAUACAUAACUAAACAAACUUUUAUAUCCUUUAUUGGCGUGUAAAUUAAAGUGAAAACAUAUUUAUAAAAUAGCAACAAAAAUCAUAGAAAAAUCAGUACAAGUGAUUAUUUGAUUACAAAUUUAAAAAAAUAUCAGUUUACGCCUGUGGUACUAUUUUCACAGUCAAGAAAAAUGCACAAUUUUGGUGUCAUGCUUUGCCUCAACAUUCUGGCAAGAGAGUCAGCUUGUUCCACAUUGUAGAGAAAGUCUUGAGAAUGGAAUAUUAUAAGUAAACAUACUGACUUAUUCGCACAUUUUUGGUUCACUUUUUUCCAUCAUUUUUCAAUACUCAAGUUGAUUUUUUUUUUAAAAGAAUAACUCGAUCAUUUUCAACUUGAUUUUCACAUCAUUUCAAGUGUCACAAGUGUCAUCAAAAUAAUGUUAGAACCUGAAAGCACUUGAAUUUAUCUAUCAAGUUGUAGAUCAUGUGAAACAUUCUUUUAUACAUAUAAAUGCAUUAUGAAGGAAUCUGAAGUGUUUCCAACUUUCUCCAUGAACAUUUACAAGCAAAAUGGAGGAGAUGAUUCCUGAAUUGAAAAUUACUAGGUACCUAUUCGUAGUUCAAAAUCUUACCUUCUUUUGCAUGUUUUCCAUCAUUUUUUUUGUUUGCCAAACUUUCCAUAACAUAUUAUUCAUUGGUCAUGGUCAAUAUUUGAAAUGCUCAUAAAUGGAGACAAGUUCGAUACCCGUUCUCAUUUAUUCAGCCGCUCUAACUCCUUCCCAUUGAUUCAAUUUCAAUCAUAGAUUGUAUGAGAAAUGUUAUGAUAGGUCUCCUGAAGGAGAUAAACCAGAAAAUUGGUAGGCUCAAGUACCUCUAGAACCAUGGAUAUUCAGAUGAUUCUAAAUAAAAUCUCAUAUUUUCUUUGUUCAUGAACACCAAUUAUUGAUCAGAACACACCGACUAAAUUGCUAGAGUACCUACCGAACAUUAAGUCAGAUCAGAGAGCGCUGCUUCAGAACAUUUCGCCUCAAAUUACUCAUUUCCACAUUCAUAAGGUGUACAUGAUAAUGAUUAUAGAUAAAUUCUAGAUGAAUAAAUAACUACAGUGAUUAAAUAUAAAUACUAUGAGAGUUUGGUGAUGAUCUCGCCGAAAAUGGUGUAGUUUAGGAACAUCAACGAUGAAAACGUGAAAGACUCCGGUACACAUGAGAUAAAAAUAUAAAUUUGAGAUCCUGGUCACCAAUCACGUUGUAGUAGAAUCAGCAUUAGUGGUAUUACGUUUCGUUACAGGAGGAGAUGUUUCAAUAGGAUUUUGAGCACUGUCAUCGAUGAUGGGUUCUUCGUAUUGGGUAGUUCUACAAAAAUACAUAAAAACGCAAGAUUAGAUGUACUCGCACGAAAAUAAUAUCAAUCUAAGAUAGGUUAGCCCAUUUAAUUCAUAAUAAGCAAAUUCAAAUCAAGCGAAUUACAUAUACAGCUGUAAACACGCGUAUAAUAAGAUUAUAGAGGUGCUUUUUGGAUUAAUACACGAAAUGGAAAUAAAACUAUAUGUAAAAA